CUUGGUCAUUUUAGAGGAAGUAAAAGUCGUAACAAGGUUUCCGUAGGUGAACCUGCGGAAGGAUCAUUAGUGAACGCCCUCACGGGCUUAUAACUAUUCCAAACCUCUGUGAACCGUGCCCUUCGGGGCUAUUUUACAAACAUGGUGUAAUGAACGUCAUAUAUCAUAACAAAACAAAACUUUCAACAACGGAUCUCUUGGCUCUCGCAUCGAUGAAGAACGCAGCGAAAUGCGAUAAGUAAUGUGAAUUGCAGAAUUCAGUGAAUCAUCGAAUCUUUGAACGCACCUUGCGCCCUCUGGUAUUCCGGAGGGCAUGCCUGUUUGAGUGUCAUGUAGACUCAAUCCCUCGGGUUUCCGAGGAGAUUGGACUUGGGUGUUGCCGCUCUGCCGGCUCGCCUUAAAAGACUUAGCGGGAUAGCACCGUAGUCGGCGUAAUAAGUUUCGUCGGUGAAGGUUGUGAUGACUGCUUACAAUCGCCCUCGGGCAAUUUUUGACUCUGACCUCAAAUCAGGUAGGACUACCCGCUGAACUUAAGCAUAUCAAUAAGCGGAGGAA
rnacentral:rRNA from 1 species